rnacentral:misc_RNA from 1 species
UCAAACUUGGUCAUUUAGAGGAAGUAAAAGUCGUAACAAGGUUUCCGUAGGUGAACCUGCGGAAGGAUCAUUAACGAAUUGUAAACAACUUGGCUGUCGCUGGCUCUCUCUGGGAGCAUGUGCACGCCUUGUUCAAACUCUUCAUCCUUAACCUCCUGUGCACACUUCGUGGAUCGUGAAUGGAUAACUCUCGAGGUAACACUCGGUUUUGGCGUUUGCGUCUAACACACGCUCUCUCCUACAUCUGUUCCCGGUUCAUGUUUUUUUACACACUACAUAAUUAAUCUAGAAUGCUUCAAAGUUGGGACUUUAGUGACCCUUCUUAAAUUAAAUACAACUUUCAACAACGGAUCUCUUGGCUCUCGCAUCGAUGAAGAACGCAGC